UGGGGAAUAUUGCACAAUGGGCGCAAGCCUGAUGCAGCGACGCCGCGUGGGGGAUGAAGGCCUUCGGGUUGUAAACUCCUUUCGCUAGGGACGAAGCCUUUUUAGGUGACGGUACCUGGAGAAGAAGCACCGGCUAACUACGUGCCAGCAGCCGCGGUAAUACGUAGGGUGCGAGCGUUGUCCGGAAUUACUGGGCGUAAAGAGCUCGUAGGUGGUUUGUCGCGUCGUCUGUGAAAUCCCGGGGCUUAACUUCGGGCGUGCAGGCGAUACGGGCAUAACUUGAGUGCUGUAGGGGAGACUGGAAUUCCUGGUGUAGCGGUGAAAUGCGCAGAUAUCAGGAGGAACACCAAUGGCGAAGGCAGGUCUCUGGGCAGUAACUGACGCUGAGGAGCGAAAGCAUGGGUAGCGAACAGG
rnacentral:rRNA from 3 species